rnacentral:rRNA from 1 species
UACGUAGGGGGCGAGCGUUGUCCGGAAUUACUGGGUGUAAAGCGCGUGUAGGCGGGAGGCCAAGUCUGUGGUGAAAUCGCUCGGCUUAACUGGGCGGGGUCCAUGGAAACUGGUCACCUGGAGGUCGGUAGAGGCAAGUGGAAUUCCUGGUGUAGCGGUGGAAUGCGCAGAUAUCAGGAGGAACACCAAUAGCGAAGGCAGCUCGCUGGGACGGUACUGACGCUAAGGCGCGAAAGCGUGGGGAGCGAACAGG